rnacentral:sRNA from 1 species
CUACCACCUUGGAGGAUUAAUUUUCCAAUUUCCUAUCAAUUGAACUAAUUUUUAUUCAAAAAUACAUAUAUUGUGAGUAUGAAAAAUUAUUAACCACCAUCUUCUCUCGCUCCGUAUCCACGGCAAUGACCAUCAGCUACACGAUCUAUGAAAAAACAAUAGAAGCAGCGAUGAUGAUGGCAGGUCUCAUGACUAUCACACCAAACUGUAUCGCAUUCAACACGCCGUGUCAAAGGUGAAUAUGUUCGUCGAUCCGACAUUCCCUGCCUUGGAAAUAGAGAUUGAUAGGGAUUGUUGACGGGAUUCCAUAUCUGCUGCUCUUCAACUUCAAAGCUAUCAACACCGUCCCAAACCUCAAACAAAUGACUCUGCAAAUCUCCCGAAUACUGAUUGGCAACAGUCAUUAGAUGACUACUAUUAAAUCUUCUGUAAUCAAGAACAUUGCCAGCUCUAUCAUAUGAUCGCAAAACCCCAUCAUCAUCUAAAUGCAAAACUCCCGCCGAAUCGAUUUGAACACUACGAAUCAUAUCAAAUACUUCGUUCUCAAAUGUUGAACCUGGUCAAAAAAAAGAUUAGUCAUCAGCUUUCAAAUUAUCGUAAGAUGAAUUUUACACAUGUGAGGAGUUAAUUAUACUUGAUAAUAUAUCAUUCUUCGUUGUUGCCUUGACUUUCAUAUUGAUAAGAAAGCCGAUCACGGCCAAGGUGAUCAAUUGCAUCGUAAUUGAUAAAAGGGUAACAAUAUUUCCACUCCGCAGUAAAUUUACAUGUAUUACUACUAUUCUAGAAUGUAUGUAUCUAUGGAAAUUGACAGAC